rnacentral:rRNA from 1 species
CCUACGGGUGGCUGCAGUGGGGAAUAUUGGACAAUGGGGGCAACCCUGAUCCAGCCAUGCCGCGUGUGUGAAGAAGGCCCUCGGGUUGUAAAGCACUUUCAGUGAGGAAGAACGCCUGGUGGUUAAUACCCAUCAGGAAAGACAUCACUCACAGAAGAAGCACCGGCUAACUCCGUGCCAGCAGCCGCGGUAAUACGGAGGGUGCGAGCGUUAAUCGGAAUUACUGGGCGUAAAGCGCGCGUAGGUGGCUUGAUAAGCCGGUUGUGAAAGCCCCGGGCUCAACCUGGGAACGGCAUCCGGAACUGUUAAGCUAGAGUGCAGGAGAGGAAGGUAGAAUUCCCGGUGUAGCGGUGAAAUGCGUAGAGAUCGGGAGGAAUACCAGUGGCGAAGGCGGCCUUCUGGACUGACACUGACACUGAGGUGCGAAAGCGUGGGUAGCAAACAGGAUUAGAUACCCCUGUAGUC